rnacentral:rRNA from 1 species
GAUGAACGCUGGCGGCGUGCCUAACACAUGCAAGUCGAGCGAACAGACGAUGAGCUUGCUCUGCUGACGUUAGCGGCGGACGUGUGAGUAACACGUGGAUCACCUACCUAUAAGACUGGGCUAACUUCGGGAAACCGGUGCUAAUACGGGAUAAUAUACUGCACCGUAUGGUUCAUUAGUGAAAGACGGUUAUGCUGGAACUUAUAUAUGGUUCCAGGCCGCAUUAGCUAGUUGGUAAGGUAACGGCUUAUCAAGGCAACGAGGCGUAGCCGACCUGUGAGGGUGAUCGGCCACACUGGAACUGAGCCGCGGUACAGACUCGUACGGGACGGGGCGGAAGGGAAUGGAACGCAAUGGGAGGGACGGUGGCGGGACCACGCCACGUGGGGGACAGGAGGCAUCGGAUCGUGAAACUCUGUUAUUAGGGUAAAACAAGUGUGUAAGUUACUCUGCGCGUGUUGACGGUACCUAAUCAAAAAGCAACGGCUAACUACGUG